rnacentral:rRNA from 1 species
AGUCACUGACAUUAGAUACCCCCGGUAGUCCCAGCCGUAAACAAUGUGCGUUAGGUGUGUCGGUAACCACGCGUUACUGAUGCGCCGAAGAGAAACCGUGAAACGUGCCGCCUGGGAAGUACGGUCGCAAGGCUGAAACUUAAAGGAAUUGCGGGGGAGCACCACAACAGGUGGAGCCUGCGGUUUAAUUGGACUUCAACGCCGGGAAGCUCACCGGAUAGGACAGCAGAAUGAUUGCCGGGCUGAAGACCCUGCAUGACUAGCUG